UACAGAGGGUGCUAGCGUUGUUCGGAAUCAUUGGGCGUAAAGGGCGCGUAGGCGGUUUGUUAAGUCAUGUGUGAAAUCCCUCGGCUCAACCGGGGAACGACGCAUGAAACUGGCAAGCUAGAGUACCAAAGAGGGGGGUGGAAUUCCCGGUGUAGCGGUGAAAUGCGUAGAUAUCAUUAGGAACACCGGUGGCGAAGGCGGCUUACUGGGUCUUUUCUGACGCUGAGGCACGAAAGCCAGGGGAGCGAACGGG
rnacentral:rRNA from 1 species